rnacentral:rRNA from 1 species
UAAUACGGAGGGUGCAAGCGUUAAUCGGAAUUACUGGGCGUAAAGGGCGCGCAGGCGGUCUAUCAAGUCAGGUGUGAAAUCCCACGGCUCAACCGUGGAGGUGCAUCUGAAACUGUUAGACUUGAGUAUGGGAGAGGAAAGUGGAAUUCCCGGUGUAGAGGUGAAAUUCGUAGAUAUCGGGAGGAACACCAGUGGCGAAGGCGACUUUCUGGACCAAUACUGACGCUGAGGCGCGAAAGCGUGGGGAGCAAACAGGAUUAGAUACCCUGGUAGUCCACAGCUGUAAACGAUGUCAACUAGGUGUUGGGGGUGCUGACCCCUCUAGCGCCGCAGCUAACGCAUUAAGUUGACCGCCU